ensembl:lncRNA
CACAAAAGGACUUCACUAGCAGGCCUGAUUCCUGUCCUACAAAUGGCUUGGUCAGCAUUCUGAGAACUUAUGUUUAGGGAAGAUUCAUGUUAUCCUAACUGGGCCACACAUCUGCGGAAUUUCCCAGGCUCAGGGUCCAGUUGGAGCUGUAGCUGCCGGUCUACACCACAGCCACUGCAACGCAAGAUCUGAGCCACAUCUGCAACCCACACCACAGCUCAUGGCAAUACUGGAUCCUUAACCUACUGAGCAAGGCCAGGGAUCGAACCCGCAUCCUCAUGGAUACUAGUCGGGUUCGUUACUGCUGACCCACAACAGGGACUCUGAACUAAUUUUUUUUUUUCUCAUGGCCACGCCCGGGGUCUNAAGUCCCUGAGCCAGGGACUAAAUCUGAGCUGCAGCUGUGACUUAUGCCACAGCUGCAGCAAUGCUGGAUCCUUAACCCACUGCACUGGGCCAGGAAUCGAACCUGCGCCUCAGCAGCAACCUGGGACACUGCAGUCGGAUUCUUAACCCACUGNGGACACUACAGUCGGAUUCUUAACCCACUGUGCCACAGCAGGACUCCGGGAACCAAUCCCUUUUAACCAUCUAUUAUGAACACACUACUUAUUAUUUCAAUGAAUUUUUAGAAAACCGCUAGAGAACUUUCUCUCCAUUUUACAGACCAGGAAGCCAAGUCUUACCUUAUUGCAGAGUUGGGAUUGGCAUCUGCCCAGGACUUUUUCUGCUGUGGCACAUUUGCCUCCAUAGGUGUCAAUCUGUUAGGUUGUCUACUAUUUGGCCCAAUAGCCCAGCUCACUAACCUCCUGUGCUGCGCUCUUUUCUCCUGGGGCUGCUGAAGUCCUUUUAUCUGAAUGAAGAGUGAGUGCAAAGCCCUACUUUGAAAAUACAGGCAGAUUAGCAGGGAGCCAUGUGGUCGUUCUGCUCAGAGAGGCACUGUUGAAAUCUGCAUGAGCAUGUAGCCAAAAAUACCCUCAGUGGUCCAGCAGUCCUUGCUAAACUGAGCACACAGGAAAUGCUCUUUAAUUAACACUGGCCGCAACUAUCUGAAAGAUAUUGUGCUGUUUGUGACUGUUCCCUGGCUGGCCUGAUGUUCCUGAUAGCUGCCUGUCAGCCCGAGUUCCCUAAUUGUCUCCAGCUUUCUGUGUUUAUUCAAGUUGUGCUUCAGUGAAUCCGGAAAGCAUUUCCUCUUCCUUCCCAGCUUGUGACGCUCCCACUUCAGCUUGUCAUACAACAGCUGUCACGUUGUGCGUGUGAGCAGUCCGGCAGAAUGACAUCCCUCUGUAUCCUGACUUGGCCCCGGGACUGUGGGAGGACAUCCCUCCCCACGGAGGCCGGGGAUUGAAGAACCAAGGACAUUCGCGCCUGACUGUAAACGCGCAAAAUGCAUUGGCGAGGUGUGGUCCCAGCAGAUGAUACAGAUGUGAACUGCGGAGAUUCCUGCAUCCUUGGUUUUACCCAUCCCCUCCCCUGAGGCUUAAAGACAGCAGGGAGCUGGGGCAUGCUUCUCAACACUGGCUACAAAGUGUGGUGAGAAUAAGGGGAGUCAGCUCCAGGUAAAAGGGGGGGCACUAGGAGAUCAGCCCGCAUAGCGUGAGGAAUGGGUUAUAGGCAAUAGAAGAAAGUUCACCCUCAGUGGCAAAAGGGGUGAAAUAAUGCAACAUGGAUGGACCUAGAGCUUAUAUUCCAAAGAAUAUACCUACAUCAGAUGAAGACAAGUAUCACAUGAUCUCACUCAUAUGUGGAAUCUAAAAAAAUGAUACAAAUGAAGUUAUAUAUGAAACAGAGACUCACGGACUGAGAAAACAAAAGUAUGGUUACCAAAGGGGAAAGGGUGGGGGCAGGAUAAAUUAGGAGAUUGGGGUGAGCAGACACACACUAUAAACAAAUUAGAUAACUAACAAAGCCCGAUUCUACAGCACAGAACUGCAUUCACUAUCUGGUGGUAGCAUCCCCACCUCUUUCCAAUAAUGGAAUCACUUUGCCGUACACCUGAAAUGUAAAUCCACUAUAGUUCAAUUACAAAAUCACAGGAAAAAACACAUUCACUAAAUUUAAAAAAGACUUGAAGCAACAAAGUGGAUUCAGUUUGGGUUCAGACUGUGCUCAGGGAGGUCGGGAAAUAUUGCUAAAAGGAUUACAAAUUUAGUUACUACGUUACAGUUUAAACCUUACCCUUUAAGAAGUAUGCAUCAUCAGUUCCUAUUUACAAACGAGGGUGUAAGAAAUGUGUCCAUUUUAAUGUCAUUAGCGCAUAUGGUAGGGCCAGGAUGCCAUGAAUCCGGCUUGAAGUGAAAGCCAGUUCCCGUCAACCACGCCGCCCUGGGAUCAAAACCAAGGCAGGAGAAUCAAGCAGGAAUGCCAAAUCUGAACUCCUCAUCUUCUUCCAGAAAGGAGCCCUCCUUUGUUCCUUCCCUGUCUUGGUUAACGGCGUCAUGAUUCAGGAGGUCGCCAAGUCUGAAACCCCAGACCUAUCUUGAGGUUUCAGGAAACCCCGGCUUCUCCCUCAGUCUUCAAAACUCAGCUCUCAGGUCUCCUCCCGUGCGGGUCUCCCGGCACCUCUUCCAGGGCCAGCUCUGCUCAAGGCCUGCCCCUCCCUUCGCCUCGCCCACGGCAGCUGGGCAUCUCCAGGGUGAGGGACUGCAUUCCCCAGAUGUUUAGAUGCCAGUGCACCCUCAGUGCCUGUCGCAUAGUUGGUCCUUUUAAUGAAUAAUACAGAGGAUAAGUGACAGUCAGAA